UACAACGCACUACCUGUUCAUAGUAGUCGUUGCUGUCAACAGCACACUGCUCACCAUCAACGCAGGGGACUACAUCUUCUACACAGACUGGGCGUGGACGUCCUUCGUUGUGUUCUCGGUGGUCGAGGUACCGAUACUUACUAGAGGCCGCAUAUGCUAAAUGUUAAUCCGUAGUCUUCAUGGCACAGAUACCUAUUGCGCCACUAUUCUGCCACUACACACACUCGUCUCAAAGUGCCCACGGUGUCGAGUUGGGUACGCCCAUCGAUUCAUUGUCGGCCGAAACACGCAACAAGCACGCUGUCAUUCUGAUUGGCGGUACGCUGGUGCGCCUAGCCUUCCCGCCGUUCCACAUGGUCAACCUGUUGCUUGUAAGGGACCCGCUCGAGGUAGCCUUCAAGUAUCCGAGACCGACUCUGCCCGCGUACAUGCCGCCUAUAGAGCCUCAGGUAGGGAAGUUCUACAACUCGCCUGUCGCCCUGGGUUCAGGUGCCGGUGCAGUGCUAACGGUACCCAUCGCUGCGUUGGGUGCAAAACUAAACACGUGG
rnacentral:rRNA from 1 species